rnacentral:rRNA from 1 species
UACGUAGGGUGCAAGCGUUGUCCGGAAUUAUUGGGCGUAAAGAGCUCGUAGGCGGUCUGUCGCGUCGGCUGUGAAAUCCCGAGGCUCAACCUCGGGUCUGCAGUCGAUACGGGCAAACUGGAGUGUUGCAGGGGAGACUGGAAUUCCUGGUGUAGCGGUGAAAUGCGUAGAUAUCUGGAGGAACACCGGUGGCGAAGGCGGCAUCCUGGACCGGCAUUGACGCUGAGGCGCGAAAGCCAGGGGAGCAAACGGG